rnacentral:rRNA from 1 species
CAUAGCCGACAGGGCCCUCAUUCCUACGGGAGGCAGCAGUGGGGAAUUGUGGACAAUGGGGGGGAGCGUGAUCCAGCCAUGCCGCGGCGGGAAGAAGGCCUUCGGGUUUAAAGUGCUUUUUCAGGGGGGAGUCCUUUGGUUAUACCAGCACCCACGACGUACACAAGAGAACCGGGGGGC